rnacentral:misc_RNA from 1 species
AAGUCGUAACAAGGUUUCCGUAGGUGAACCUGCGGAAGGAUCAUUACAAGUCUGAAAUGGGGGGGUUGGAGGGUGGAGUGUUAUGCUCUGCUCGUCCCUCACCACAAGAGGUCUCGGAUCCAAUGGAUUCGCAUGACAUUAACGCUUGCUUUGUUUGUCAGUUUUAGUGAAAGUAUUUUGUACAAAACUUUUAACAACGGAUCUCUUGGCUCUU